UACGUAGGGUGCGAGCGUUGUCCGGAAUUAUUGGGCGUAAAGAGCUCGUAGGCGGUGUGUCACGUCGGCCGUGAAAACCUGGGGCUUAACUCUGGGCGUGCGGUCGAUACGGGCAUCACUAGAGUUCGGCAGGGGAGACUGGAAUUCCUGGUGUAGCGGUGAAAUGCGUAGAUAUCGAGAGGAACACCUGCGGCGAAGGCGGGUUGCUGGGCUGACACUGACGCUGAAGCGCGAAAGCUAGGGGAGCGAACGGG
rnacentral:rRNA from 1 species